rnacentral:lncRNA from 1 species
AGAAAGCUUCAGUGUGCCCUUGUGUGAGGUUUUGCUGUUUGCUUUUGGUUCUUGCUGAUUUUUUCUUCUCAGGUACUGCAGGGGUACUGAGCCCAUCUGGGUUUCUGGUGAAAACAUCCCUCCAUGGGAGGCUUUUUUCUUUUGUUUUUUUGGAUUUUGUUAUGGGAGUUUUUGAAUUUCAGGUAUGGUGUUAAAUUAGGACUAUUUUAGUGUAUCAUCGCCCUGCUUUGUUUUUGAACAUUUAGAAACUUUACUAAAAUUUCAGGUGCCCAUGUGACAGUAGUAAUACAGAAGUUGCCCUGUGGUGAUGGGAGCAGAUGGUGUUCUGUGCCUCGAGGCAUCUUACUCACCCCCAUGUCACUCUCCUCAGUUCAUGUUUCAGCUCCUGCACCCCCUUGAGGGAGACAGAUUUUGCUUUAUUUA